rnacentral:rRNA from 1 species
CGUUGCCUACGGGGGGCAGCAGUGGGGGAUAUUGCACAAUGGAGGAAACUCUGAUGCAGCGACGCCGCGUGAGGGAAGACGGUCUUCGGAUUGUAAACCUCUGUCUUUGGGGAAGAAAAUGACGGUACCCAAAGAGGAAGCUCCGGCUAACUACGUGCCAGCAGCCGCGGAAAUACGUAGGGAGCGAGCGUUGUCCGGAAUUACUGGGUGUAAAGGGAGCGUAGGCGGGCGAGAAAGGUGAGUGUU